AAGUCGUAACAAGGUCUCCGUAGGUGAACCUGCGGAGGGAUCAUUAUAGAUUGGCCGAAAGGCCGUGUCUCAUCCACACACACCGUGAACGCAACACAGUCUGGCCCUUGAGCCGUGUCUCGGGACCUGGGCCGGACUCACACCAAACGAAAUGUAAAGAAUGUCAAUCAAUGUAACGAAAACAAAA
rnacentral:misc_RNA from 1 species